rnacentral:rRNA from 1 species
UACGGGGGGGGCAAGCGUUGUUCGGAAUUACUGGGCGUAAAGGGCGCGUAGGCGGCCUUCUAAGUCGGACGUGAAAUCCCUCGGCUUAACCGAGGAACUGCGUCCGAUACUGAAAGGCUUGAAUCCGGGAGAGGGAUGUGGAAUUCCAGGUGUAGAGGUGAAAUGCGUAGAUAUCUGGAGGAACACCGGUGGCGAAGGCGGCAUCCUGGACCGGCAUUGACGCUGAGGCGCGAAAGCUAGGGGAGCAAACGGG